AACGAACGCUGGCGGCAUGCCUAACACAUGCAAGUCGAACGAGACCUUCGGGUCUAGUGGCGCACGGGUGCGUAACGCGUGGGAACCUGCCCUUAGGUUCGGAAUAACUCCCCGAAAGGGGUGCUAAUACCGGAUAAUGUCUUCGGACCAAAGAUUUAUCGCCUUUGGAUGGGCCCGCGUUGGAUUAGCUAGUUGGUAGGGUAAAAGCCUACCAAGGCGACGAUCCAUAGCUGGUCUGAGAGGAUGAUCAGCCACACUGGGACUGAGACACGGCCCAGACUCAUACGGGAGGCAGCAGUGGGGAGUAUUGGACAAUGGGCGAAGGCUUGACACAGCAGUGCCGCGGGAGUGAUAAAGCCCUUAGGGUGGUAAACCCCUUUAACCCGGGCGGAAAAUGACGGUACGGGAAGAAUAAGCUCCGGCUAACUCCGUC
rnacentral:rRNA from 1 species